rnacentral:rRNA from 1 species
UACGAAGGGGGCUAGCGUUGUUCGGAAUUACUGGGCGUAAGCGCACGUAGGCGGACAUUUAAGUCAGGGGUGAAAUCCCAGAGCUCAACUCUGGAACUGCCUUUGAUACUGGGUGUCUUGAGUAUGGAAGAGGUGAGUGGAAUUCCGAGUGUAGAGGUGAAAUUCGUAGAUAUCAGGAGGAACACCGAUGGCGAAGGCAGUGUUCUGGGCCAGUACUGACGCUGAGGAGCGAAAGCGUGGGGAGCAAACAGG